GGACUAACUAGGCUCAAAAGAUUCAUCUCGUAAAUUACAGGCAAACUGUACAAUUAGUUUUUAUUUUUAUUUUUAUUUAAUGUUUCAUGUAUACGUUUAAAGAUUCGAUGUGACGAGGAAUUUUGAAAAUUUUUGGAAACUAAACAAGACCAUAUCUACCUAUGGCAUUCGGUUGUUUUGUAGGGGCGAGGCAACACCCGGUGCAUUUGUGUGUAGGUGCCUGGGCCCUGGGUGGGUGG
rnacentral:lncRNA from 1 species